CCUACGGGAGGCAGCAGUGGGGGAUAUUGCACAAUGGGGGAAACCCUGAUGCAGCGACGCCGCGUGAGUGAUGAAGUAUUUCGGUAUGUAAAGCUCUAUCAGCAGGGAAGAAAAUGACAGUAUCUGACCAAGAAGCCCCGGCUAACUACGUGCCAGCAGCCGCGGUAAUACGGAGGGUGCAAGCGUUACCCGGAUUUACUGGGGGUAAAGGGCGCGUAGACGGGUAUGUAAGUCUGAUGUGAAAGCCUGGGGCCUAACCACGGAACUGCUUUUGAAACUGUGAAACUGGAGUACAGGAGGGGCAGGCGGAAUUCCUGGUGUAGCGGUAAAAUGCGUAGAGAUCAGGAGGAACACCGGCGGCGAAGGCGACCUGCUGGACUGAAACUGACGUUGAGGCGCGAAAGCGUGGGGAGCAAACAGGAUUAGAUACCCCUGUAGUC
rnacentral:rRNA from 1 species